rnacentral:lncRNA from 1 species
AGGCAUCGCCAAAGAGCACAAACAUCUCUAAUACCCCCAAGCAAAUACACGCACAAAUAGCCGGCCAUGGCUCGUAGCGGACCUGGUUGCCGUCUUCUCGUCCUGCUCCUAUCCCUGGCUGCCUUCAAUGGCAGCUUUGCAGCUCGACAUCUUUUGGACACAGCCGCUGCGCCAGAGGCCGCACCUGCUCAGCCGUCCAUUCCAAUGAUUCCAACCAAAUUGCCUCCAGUGCCUUCCAUACCAGCUGUUCCAACCACGCUGACGCUGCCACCAAUGCCUUCCAUUCCGGCGGUCCCGAAGACAGCAGUCCCACCAAUUCCGUCCAUUCCUAUUCCAAAGUUAGCCCUGCCACCAACAGCUGCUGGCGCAAUCCCCUCUCUCCCAAACCCGGUGAUUCCAACCACCGUACCAGCUAUUCCUAAAGUCCAGGUUACCCUGCCACCAAUGCCGUCGAUCCCCACUACUGUGCCAUCAAUUCCAACUACGAUUCCAACAACAAUCCCAACCAUUCCCGGACUCCAGGUGCCUCCACUCACUGCCCCAUCCCCACAAACCACCAGCCCUUGAAGUUCAUUGUAGCAAGAGACUUUUCCUACUUUCUGGUAGUCAGGAGUUUGAUUCAUUGUGUAUUGUCAUUUUCAGUGUGUAUUUCAUGUUUGUUCUGCUAUUUGGGUGAUCCUGGCUAGCAUGUGGUGUGAUUGUGAAUGCAGCCAGUCUAUUGUACCAUUUUGUCUUGCCGUUAAUAAAGUAUUACUCGGUCUUUAUACAUUACUGAGCAGAACGAGAUUUCUAGGUUAUUCUUAUCUAACAAAAUAAGCGGUAGCAUGAUGUGCCUAGUGCAUAACAAUGCUUAAAAUACCAAGUCUCCUUGUCGAAUGAUCUAAUCAAAAUUAAACAUAUCUAUCUAAAAGGAAGGGGAAUGGUAAAGGGUAAUGGAUAAUACUGGCUUUGGGUCUGAUACUUGAUGUGGCAAUGUGUCCAUGAAGGACGAAUUUUCAGCCUUGUUCAAUAUUUGCAAUGAACAAGGAUGUUUUCUACACUAAAUCCAUAGUAAGAGAUGCACUUGACCUUAAGAUGAUGGCUUCGUAAAGAGUUAAAAGCAACCACUAACAAGAUUGCACGACAUAUGUGUUGUAAGUGGUGCAAAGGACAGCAAAAUUGAGUGGGAGAAGAACGGGAAGUUCAUGAUGAAAACAGUUUAUAUAAACACUGGUGUCGUUCAGGGCAUGAUAGUAGCUACAUAAACAUUUGGAAGACAAGAAUGUCCCUCAAGAUCAAAAUCUUGAUGUCGCUUACCAUGAAAAAUGUGAUUAAAGAGAAGAUAUCAUCCAUCAUGGCCACACACUGAACCAAAACAAAUAAUCAAAAAGGUCAAGAAUCCAUUAUCGUGGUGAAAUUCAAAAGAUAGUAGACUGUACAGUUUACACAGGAGAAGUUCAAUAUGACCUAGCAGUUAGCUCGAAGAAGGCGCUGAAUAUUUCUGGUGCCUACAUGCUGGGUGAAAAAAGCCAUGGAGAUUCCAGAAUAAAUAGUUUUUUUUUUUGAACGGGAAUUCCAGAAUAAAUAGUGAGGCAAAUGAAUAAGAACUAGAGGCUUGCAAGUACAUACAAUUGAGUGUCUCCACACUUACACUCAACCAAUUGAAGUUGUACCAACUGAAAAAUCAUCCUUAACCCAUGCUUGCGGUUUACAGAUAUAGUUCUAUCUUCCUGCUAUGUAGCUGAAUUCACUGCAUUUCCAAGAUUCCCAAUUUUUUCAUAUUCCACUUCGAACAUGACCAUCAUAGUACCAUCUUUUCCAGAGUUGUAGUCCCUGUUUAAUAUCUUCAGUUUGGAAAUCAAGCAAGAGAUGCAGCAAGGCAUAACCAUGUUAAAAAAUCACGGAUAAAACAGAGAACUAAGUGACAGUAGGUAGCAGAAGCACAUGAUAACUAGGAUUUUUUUUAAAAAAAAAGAAGAAGCACAAGCUAAUUCAGGGGACUGGCUGAGCUAAGCCUUUUCUUUUAUAAGGCAGUUCACUAAGCUUUGUUUUGGAAAAUAAACAGAGAGCUACUCAAUUUACAAUCAGUUUUAGAGCACAGUUAUUGGCUUAUUGCUACCACCCUCAAUGGGGCCUAGAACCAUCCAAUACAAGAUUACAUAAUGCAACUGUUCAAUACUAACUUUCAGAAACUUGUGUAGCACAAGCAUAUGCGCAUUGGCAAAGCAAUACUCCCUCUAUUCUAAAUUGUAAAAGCUAUGUAUGUAGAAAAGCCAGAAUGACUUACAAUUUGGAGUGGAGGGAGUACUACUUACAACCACUUCAAUAGGAUUUGGGACAACAAUAGGUGUCACAAUUCAUUACUUAAUUAUUCAUUACGACAUAUUAAAAUAACUAUGGCCACUGUUUCAGAAAUUAAGAGUUCAACUCUACUCGGUUUCUGUUAUAUGUGUUGAUCACCAGAGAUUUGAGAGGAUUUUUAGGAAGAAUUGCAGGGAAUGACACAGUACUGUUCACAUGAUCAGUACUGUGAACACUAACCAGGGAAGAGGGAGGAGGAUAGGGAGAAAAAAGCGGAGCAGCUGACCUAGGGCUAACUAGGAGGAAAGAGAAGGGGGCAACGUCAGCCCUGCUGCUGACACCAGCAUGGGCAACAGUGUGAGAGGUUAAACCUCUUAAUUCAUCCUCUUUAUUUCCCCACGUAUGUUUCCUCUCUAUUUAUAAAGAAGGUGACUUAAGUCUGAGACUCUUAAGCAACCUAUAGAUGGAAUCUUUACAAUUAUGAUCCUAAAUAAGAGAUAAAAAGGCUUGAAGGUUAACUGGAUGUAGGGUUUAUCAGUAGCCUGCAGGGGUGGUGGCAGCGGCUGCACUAGUGCUGCCUGACAUCCUUUGCCUGCCCACCAGCGCCUAUUUGGCCCAUCACAGUUGUAUACUGGGUUAACAGUGAUAGAGCCUCAGUGUAAAUAGACUAUUAUGUGUUCAAUUCUGCACAGUAGUAUAUUGGUCCAACAUGUGAACAAAACAGUAUGUUCUGAAAGAUUAAACUGACGUACAUAACACUUACUAGGGUCCCAAAAUACUAAACCAAAUAAUAACAUUAGCACAAUAAGUUUUCUAGAUAUAUUAAUAUAUAUUGAGUGUUUAAAUUACCUAACAAAAAAGAAUCAUAUGACAUAACCAAACCUACUAACAGAAAACCUUCUAGUUUGCAAAUAGAUGUUCAAGAAGUUACUGGAAUCAGGCCAGUAACUAUGCAGGUAAUACAAAACAUAUAUACACUGUAGGGCAGAUCAAACAAUUAGAUGUAAAGCCAACUCUGUAAGUCUGUAUGGAAUAUAUUUUUAUAGUAAACUUAACUGAAGACAUAAAUGUUUAUAUUUUUUUCUAUAAACUUGAUCAAACAUAGAAAAGUUUCACUUAUCUGAAAACUAAAAUUGCAUUCUUUUUCUUGGACAGAGGGUGUAUGUUCUUAAUUUCUCAUUGUUAGAUGCAUUGAAAUUCUUUGUGGGCUCCCUUACUUCACUGAGCCUGUCAAAAGGUUAGAGGAACAUAUCCAAAAACUAGACCCGCCAAUCCAAAGUUCAGUUCAACAAAUAAGCAAGAACUUCCUAACUCCCAGAUCAAACUAUAACUGAUACCUCCAAAGAACAUUGGCUGGUAAACAACCAAAUGUCAGGUGAGUUCAGAAGCCAGACACAGGUGAACAACCAACGAUGACCAUUGCUCUUGCUCACCUGACCACAUGCUGAUGUUGCUAUAAAUACUCCCAGCAUCAGGUCUCAUCUUCACAGGCAUCGCCAAAGAGCAAAACAUCUCUAAUACCCCCAAGCAAAUACACGCACUAAUAGCCAUGGCUCGUAGCGGACCUGGUUGCCGUCUUCUCGUCCUGCUCCUAGCCUUGACUGCCUUCAAUGGCAGCUUUGCAGCUAGACAUCUUUUGGACACAUCAGCUGCACCACAGGCCGCACCUGCUCAGCCAUCCAUUCCAGCAGUUCCAACCAAACUGCCUCCAGUGCCUUCCAUACCAAUAGUUCCAACCACGCUGACGCUGCCUCCAAUGCCUUCCAUUCCGGCGGUCCCAACGACAGCAAUCCCACCAAUUCCGUCCAUUCCUAUUCCAAAGUCAGCCCUGCCACCAACAGCUGCUGGUGCAAUCCCAUCUCUCCCAAACCCGGUGAUUCCAACCACCGUACCAGCUAUUCCUAAAGUCCAGGUUACCCUGCCACCAAUGCCCUCAAUCCCCACUACUGUGCCAUCCAUUCCAACUAUGAUUCCAACAACAAUCCCAACCAUUCCCGGACUCCAGGUGCCUCCACUCACUGCCCCAUCCCCACAAACCACCAGCCCUUGAAGUUCGUUGUAGCAAGAGACUUUUCCUACUUUCUGUUAGUCAGGAGUUUGAUUCAUUGUGUAUUGUCAUUUUCAGUGUGUACUUCAUGUUUGUUCUGCUAUUUGGGUGAUCCUGGCUAGCAUGUGGUGUGAUUCCGAAUGCAGCCAGUCUAUUGUACCAGUUUGUCUUGCUGUUAAUAAAGUAUUUCUUGGUCUUUAUUAUACAUUAGUGAGCAGAAUGAGAUUUCUAUAGUAUUCUUAUCUAAUAACAUAAGUGGUAGCAUAAUGUGCCUAGUGCAUACCAAAGCUAAAAUUACCAAGUCCCCUUGUGGAAUGACCUCCUCAAAAUUAAGCAUAUUUAUCUUAAAGGAAGGGAAUGGAAGAGGGUAAUGGAAAAUACUGGCUUUGGGUCUGAUACUUGAUGUGGCAAUGUGUCCCUCAAGGACAAAUUUUCAGCCUCGUUCAAUAUUUGCAAGGAACAAGAAUGUUCUGUACAGUAAAUCCAUGGUAAGAGAUGCACUGGACCUUAAGACAAUGGCUUGAUCUAGUUACAACUAACAACUAACAAGAUUACACGACAAACUCUUCGGGUGUGCUGUAAGCACAGACAGAGGGUAGUGGCAGCCAAACUGGGCACCGGCCCCCCCUUCCUCCAUGGUAGCCACUACUCCGUAUAUCAUUGGUUGUUGUCUGACUGUUGGCUGCUGCAAAACAAUGAAGAAGAAUAGGAUGGCUUAUACGUCUAGGCCUUGAAGACUUGAGGAGCAUAAAGAAUGGACCAUGACUAAGCAUGAGCUGCCAUAGCCAAGCAAGCAAGACAGCCCAGAAACGUCGUUCUAAACGUAAGCAUGCCACAGUGGAGCUAGCUAUCUGUCAGGUCAUUGACUCAACCACGCAUCAUUGGUAUAAAUUCCGCCCCCCCCCCCCCCCCCUGCUUUUCUGUCAGGCUCCGCCACUGGCUGUAAGUGGUGCAAACGACAGCAAAAUUGAGUGGGAGAAGAAUGACAAGUUCACAAAGAAAUCAGUUUAUGUACACACUGGUGUCGUUCAGGGCUUGAUAGCAGCAUAGACAUUUGGAAGACAAGAAUGUCUCUCAAGAUCAAAAUCUUUAUGUGGCUUACCAUGAAGAAUGUGAUUAAAAAGAAGAUAUCAUCCAUCAUGGCAGCACACUGAACCAAAACAAAUAAUCAAAAAGGUUAUGAAUCCAUUAUCAUGGUGAAAGUCAAAAGAUAGCAGACUGUACAGUUUACACUGGAGAAGUUCAAUAUGGCCUAGCAGUUAGCUCGAAGAAGGCGCUGAAUAUUUCUGGUGCCUACAUGCUGGGUGAAAAAAGCCAUGGAGAUUACAGAAUAAAUAGCCAGGCAAAUGAAUAAGAACUAGAGGCUUGAAAGUACAUAUGAUUGAGUGUCUCCACACAUACACUCAACCAAUUGAAGUUCUACCAACUGAAAAAUCAUCCUUAACCCGUGCUUACGGUUUAUAGAUAUAGUUCUAUUUUCCUGCUACAAGCUGAAUUCACUGCAUUUCCAAGAUUCACAAUUUUUUCAUAUUCUACUUCAAACAUGACCAUAACAGUACCAUCUUUUCCAAUGUCAUGGUCCCGUUAAAUGUCAACUUGGAAAUGUUGCAGCUGUUUAAACAUUUAAUUAAGUCAUAGCUUUUGAAAGUACAAAUCAAGCAAGAGAUGCAGGAAGGCAUAACCAUGUUAAAAGAACAUGGAUAAAACAGAGAAUUAAGUGACAGUAGGCAGCAGAAGCACAUGAUAACUAUGAUUUUAAAAAGAAGAAGCAGCAGCAGCUAACUCAGGGGAGCUGAGAUCACAUGAUCAGUUCACUAAGUUUUUAUUUAUUAUUUAUUUAUUUAAUAAGGCAGUUCACUAAGCUUUGUUUUGGAGAAUAAACUGAGAGCUACUCAAUUUACAAUCAGCUUUAGAGUGCAGUUAUUGCUACCACCCUCAAUGAUGCAUAGAUCCAUCCAAUACAAGAUAACAUAAUGCAAGUAGCACAAGCAUAUGCUAGCGGCCUAGCAUUGGCAAAGUAAUACUACUAAGAAACCACUUCAAUAGGAUUUGGACAACCAUAGGUUUCAUAAUUGAUAGUACUUCAUUAUGACAGAUACAAAACAACUGUGGUCACUUUCAGAAAAUUAAGAGUUCAACUCUACUCAGUUUCUGUUAUAUGAGUCAGAUCACAUCUCUAGAGAGAGGAUUUUGAGGAAGAAUUGAGGGGAAUGGCACAGUACUGUUCACGUGAGCAGUACUGUGAACACUAACCAGGGAAGGAGGAAAGUAGGGAGGAAAAACAAGAGCAGCUACCCUAGGGCUAACCAUCCUUAGGAGGAAACAGAAGGGGGCAUUGUUUUUUUGACUUAUCUAAAAUCUAGAAAUGCAUUGUUUUUUCGGACAGAGGGAGUAUGUUCUUAAUUUCUCAUUGUCAGAUGCAUUGAAAUUCUUUGCGGACUCCCUUACUUCAACGAUCCAGUCAAAAGGUUAGAGCAACAUAUCCAACAAGUAGAACGCCUAUCAAAAGUUCAGUUCAACAAAUGAGCAAGAACCUCCUAACUCACAGAUCAAACUAUACCUGAUACCUUAAAGCACAUUGGCAGAUAAACAACCAAAGGUCAGGUGAGUUCAGAAGCCAGAUACAGGUGAACAACCAACGAUGACCAUUGCUCUUGCAGUCUUGCUCACCUGACCACAUACUGCUAUAAAUAGUCCCAGCAUCAGGUCUCAUCUUCACAGGCAUCACCAAAGAGCAAAACAUCUCUAAUACCCCCAAGCAAAUAGCCAAAUACACGCACUAAUAGCCAUGGCUCGUAGCGGACCUGGUUGCCGUCUUCUCGUCCUGCUCCUAGCCAUAACUGCCUUCAAUGGCAGCUUUGCAGCUCGACAUCUUUUGGAGACAGCAGCUGCGCCAGAGGCCACACCUGCUCAGCCAUCCAUUCCAGCGGUUCCAACCAAACAGCCUCCAGUGCCUUCCAUACCAGCAGUUCCAACCACGCUGACGCUGCCUCCAAUGCCUUCCAUUCCAGCGGUCCCGAAGAUGACAAUCCCAACUAUUCCUAUCCCAAAGUUAGCUCUGCCACCAACAGCUGCUGGCGCAAUCCCAUCUCUCCCAAACCCGGUGAUUCCAACCACCAUACCAGCUAUUCCUAAAGUACCGGUUACCCUGCCACCAAUAUCCUCAAUCCCCACUACUGUGCCAUCCAUUCCAACUACGAUUCCAACAACAAUCCCAACCAUUCCCGGACUCCAGGUGCCUCCACUCACCGCCCCAUCCCCACAAACCACCAACCCUUGAAAUUUGUCUAGUGAGAGAUUUUUCUUAUUUUCUGUUAGUCAGGAGUUUGAUUCAUCGUAUAUUGUCAUUUUCAGUGUGUAUGUCAUGUUUGCUCUGCUAUUUGGGUGAUCUUGGCUAGCAUGUGGUGUGAUUGUGAAUGCAGCCAGUCUAUUGUACCAUUUUGUCUUGCUGUUAAUAAAGUAUUACUUGUUCUUUAUGCA